UCCAUGCACUACCCCAAAACUUCAUAUCUAAUUACAAGUUCUGCCACCGGAAAGCUGCACAUUCUUAAGUCACGUGAAUUGAUUACCGUCUUUGGCUAAGCAUUUCAUGAGCAGUCAAUGGUGACCACCAGGUCCACCAUGAGUUCCAUUAGCUUCUGUCCAAAACAAUGUUGUAUUUUUCCAGAAACUACUUUCUUUAGUGUAUCAAGAAAAGUUACAAUGACUUGAAGCUCCAUGAUUUCAACUCAUUCAAAUAUGAUAUUGGUUGGUGCUGGUGGUUUCAAGAUCUUCACAUCCCCUAAAUUUAAUGCUUGGUUGAUAUUAUUUGUUCAUCAAUAUUUCUUUUUUACUGAGUUUUUCUAAAUAAUAUUCAGCAGGUGUUUGAUCAAAUGGGCCACUGAACUUCUUCAUUUUAAAAAAUAAAUUCACAUGCCUUUGCAAAUCUUACUUAUUUACAGUAUUUGUUGUUGAAUGAGAAUGGUCUUCCUGAUGUUAUUGACAAAACCUGGACAACAUUGAGUCAACUAUUGUUAUUUUAAUUUUUGUCGGCUUUGUGUUAUAUAUAUCCCAAAUUUUAUGUCACGACCUGAGGUGGGUUUGGUGUUGUUUACACUGGAGAAUUGCAUGAUUGCACUCAGAUUGCAGUGUAAAGAAUGGAAUUUGGGUUGUGUGUACAAAAGGACUGAAUGAGUUCGAAGCAGAAUUGUUAUUGCUGAUAGGAUAGAAAUUGUUUCCUGGAAGCUCAAGAUGGCAAGUCAGAGUGCUAGAGGCAUUUUUUGUCACACUUUAUAAGAGAGUUCAAGGUUUGGAAAGUUAUAAUCCCACAAAUCCAGUAGAUUCAGCUGGGUAUCUUGAGCAUUGGAUUAAACCACCGGUGAACUGCGUUAUAGGCAACUGUGAUGCUGCGAUCUUUACAUGAGGUGCUCGGUCUGGAGUUGGUUGGAUACCAGAGGCCCAAAGAUAUUAAUGGGAUUUUGAUCAGAGCUGUUGCUCCUGAAAUUCUUUGGGCUGAGACAAUAGCUAUUCGGGUGGUGCUUAGUUGGAUCUAGCGGGAAAUAAAGGCAAGUGAAGCUAAUAUUUGUAACAAUUAGUUGUCGUAUGUGGGGGAAUCUGACUGCCAACUUGCUAUAAGGGUCAUUCUUAACAGGGAAGCAAUUUACUCGCCCUUUAGUAAUGCAGUUGAUAAAUGCAGGAACAUCAUAGAUUCUUUAAACAAUAUUAAAAUUGUUUUUGUAAAAUUAUCAGGGCUGCAGAUUGGCUUGCAUGGUCAUCGAGUUCUAUGCCAGGUUGUAUUGCCAGUGGGGGUUCUCAAAUUUUAAGCUUCAUAGCAUUUUAUAUGCUGAUUUGAGUUAAUGAAAAUUUAACAUUCCUGAAAAAAUCUCUCAUAGACAUUUGAAAUGUAUACUUAAUGGAAUUUUUUAACCUUUGUUAUUCUUUUUAUUGAUGAUUGUUGCAACAUGAGUUCCAUGUAACUGAGAAAACAGAAGAACGACCAGCAGCCACGAAUGCAUUUGAGUUAAUAUCCAUGUUGUGGGGGACUCAAUCUUGGAAAUCUUUUUCAAUGUAGAGCAGGUAUUCAAUUAAAUAUUGGAGACCUCCCACAAAUUCAAAUAUUAUACAAGUGAUUUAAGUUCUGAAAAAGAAGCAGGUGUCUGGGAGAUUGUCCCAACUUUUGGUUGUUGGCAUAAGUUUCAAUAUGGCUACACUGCUUCUGAAAGAGAAGGCAAGAGUGUUGAUCUUCCUGCAAUCCUGCAGGCGGCAGGAUAUGUUCAUAUCAGUGUUUGUCAGAUUCUAACGAUUGCAUGUAUUGGAAUUGGGUUAAUGGAUUUAACUUUCCGCUGA